AGUCGAACGGUAACAGGAAGCAGCUUGCUGCUUUGCUGACGAGUGGCGGACGGGUGAGUAAUGUCUGGGAAACUGCCUGAUGGAGGGGGAUAACUACUGGAAACGGUAGCUAAUACCGCAUAACGUCGCAAGACCAAAGAGGGGGACCUUCGGGCCUCUUGCCAUCGGAUGUGCCCAGAUGGGAUUAGCUUGUUGGUGGGGUAACGGCUCACCAAGGCGACGAUCCCUAGCUGGUCUGAGAGGAUGACCAGCCACACUGGAACUGAGACACGGUCCAGACUCCUACGGGAGGCAGCAGUGGGGAAUAUUGCACAAUGGGCGCAAGCCUGAUGCAGCCAUGCCGCGUGUAUGAAGAAGGCCUUCGGGUUGUAAAGUACUUUCAGCGGGGAGGAAGGGAGUAAAGUUAAUACCUUUACUCAUUGACGUUACCCGCAGAAGAAGCACCGGCUAACUCCGUGCCAGCAGCCGCGGUAAUACGGAGGGUGCAAGCGUUAAUCGGAAUUACUGGGCGUAAAGCGCACGCAGGCGGUUUGUUAAGUCAGAUGUGAAAUCCCCGGGCUCAACCUGGGAACUGCAUCUGAUACUGGCAAGCUUGAGUCUCGUAGAGGGGGGUAGAAUUCCAGGUGUAGCGGUGAAAUGCGUAGAGAUCUGGAGGAAUACCGGUGGCGAAGGCGGCCCCCCGGACGAAG
rnacentral:rRNA from 1 species